rnacentral:rRNA from 1 species
UGGGGAAUAUUGGACAAUGGGCGCAAGCCUGAUCCAGCCAUGCCGCGUGAGUGAUGAAGGCCCUAGGGUUGUAAAGCUCUUUCAACGGUGAAGAUAAUGACGGUAACCGUAGAAGAAGCCCCGGCUAACUUCGUGCCAGCAGCCGCGGUAAUACGAAGGGGGCUAGCGUUGUUCGGAAUUACUGGGCGUAAAGCGCACGUAGGCGGAUAUUUAAGUUAGGGGUGAAAUCCCAGGGCUCAACCCUGGAACUGCCUCUAAUACUGGGUAUCUCGAGUCCGAGAGAGGUGAGUGGAAUUCCGAGUGUAGAGGUGAAAUUCGUAGAUAUUCGGAGGAACACCAGUGGCGAAGGCGGCUCACUGGCUCGGUACUGACGCUGAGGUGCGAAAGCGUGGGGAGCAAACA